GUGCUCACUUCAGCAGCAUAUAUACUAAAAUUGGAACGAUACAGAGAAGAUUAGCAUGGCCCCUGUGCAACGAUGACACCCAAUUCGUGAAGUGUUCCAUAUUUUU
ensembl:snRNA U6 U6 spliceosomal RNA